rnacentral:rRNA from 1 species
CAGCCGCCACGGGAAUACGUAGGGGGCGAGCGUUGUCCGAAGUUACUGGGCGUAAAGCGCGCGUAGGCGGCUUCUUAAGUCUGAGGUGAAAGGUUCAACGCUUAACGUGAACAGUGCCUUGGAUACUGGGGAGCUUGAGUAUGGGAGAGGGCAGUGGAAUGGCUGGUGUAGCGGUGAAAUGCGUAGAUAUCAGUCGGAACACCCAUGGCGAAGGCAGCUGCCUGGCCUAAUACUGACGCUGAGGUGCGAAAGCGUGGGGAGCGAACGGGAUUAGAUACCCCUGUAGUCCCUGUCUCUUAUA